rnacentral:rRNA from 1 species
UAGUCCACGCCGUAAACGAUGGAUACUAGCUGUUCGGAUUUCGGUCUGAGUGGCUAAGCGAAAGUGAUAAGUAUCCCACCUGGGGAGUACGUUCGCAAGAAUGAAACUCAAAGGAAUUGACGGGGGCCCGCACAAGCGGUGGAGCAUGUGGUUUAAUUCGAUGAUACGCGAGGAACCUUACCAGGGCUUAAAUGUAUAGUGACAGAUCCAGAGAUGGAUUUUUCUUCGGACACUUUACAAGGUGCUGCAUGGUUGUCGUCAGCUCGUGCCGUGAGGUGUCAGGUUAAGUCCUAUAACGAGCGCAACCCCUACCGUUAGUUGCUAGCAGGUCAUGCUGAGGACUCUAACGGGACUGCCGGUGCAAACCGUGAGGAAGGUGGGGACGACGUCAAAUCAUCACGGCCCUUACGUCCUGGGCCACACACGUGCUACAAUGGCCGGUACAGAGGGAAGCCACCACGUAAGUGGGCGCGGAUCUAUAAAACCGGUCACAGUUCGGAUCGGGGUCUGCAACUCGACCCCG